ACCACUGGGGGAACAGUGGCAGAGGAGAGGGAAGAGUCCAGGGAGGGCCAACUCCAGAGGAAGGUCUCCGGAGAAAGUCUUCCUGGGGUCAGAGACCAUGCUGGCUCCACCAUCACUGGUGGGAAAGGGAGACUGCAAUGUAGACAGAGCAAUCCAGCAAUCAGCAAUCCAGCAAUCCAGCAAUCAGCAACCCAGCAAUCCAGCAAUCCAGCAACCCAGCAAUCCAGCAACCCAGCAAUCCAGCAAUCCAGCAACCCAGCAAUCCAGCAAUCCAGCAAUCCAGCAACCCAGCAAUCCAGCAAUCCAGCAAUCCAGCAAUCCAGCAAUCCAGCAAUCCAGCAAUCCAAAGUGGCAACAGGAACAACAGGGAGAGCAGCAGCCACCACAGACCCUCUUGGGGCUCUUGCAUUUAUACCCUCUCCAGGGUCCCCAGACUUCCAAACAAUCUGCGAGUGGCAAGAACCACACCCCUCCUAGAGCAGGAGGCAGUCAUAGUUAGUGUCUGUGGAUAACCCAAAGCAGCCCCAUAUCCCACACUCAGGAUUAAAACAAAAACAUAUGCACUUAACAUAACUAGUUUUUUAAAGAAACCAAAUUUCUCACUACAAGGAAGGGCAUAACCCACGUACAAAGUCCUGAGACAGAAAUUCCCCCAAAGGCCAGCGGUGUGAGAGCCCUGAAGCAAGGGUCCUGGGAAAGGGGAGUCCAGAGCUGAGAGGGGAAGGCUUUGUUGACCUUGUUGGCCAUGCCAUGCAGUUUAAGCGUUGCCAUAUUUCAACAAGAUUCCUCUGGGUGCAGCUUGGAGGCGAUGUCUGGGCCCCUGGUGGCACAAUUGGCUACCGAGAGGCUGUUACUAUGGCACAGGUGAGCAGUGAGCAUUCAAGAGUUUGGGGCUCAGGGAUGGAGGGGAGGGAAAAUUGAGGAGCAACAUGCCACCUCCAUGGUGUGGUGGAAGCUGUCAAGAACAGUUCCUGGGCCUCACAAGAGACUUCUGUAAGAGGGACAAACUGGUAGCAUAUGGCCCCUAAUUAAAGUAUCUAGGUUGAAGUUCCACUGACCUGAGCAACCAUGGCCACAGUUAAGACUGCCAGCGUUUCUAUCACCCACAGGUGCACACAUGCAUAGAGGUAUACGCACCUAAAACAUGUGCACCAGGUACCCCCAUGGGCUUCUCAGUCCAGCACACAGUGAAAACACUUUUGAAGGCACAGUGAGCUACAUGUCCCCAGAAUCCUACGGAAAGUGGUGACUGCCUCAAAUCCAAAGUUAGGUGCGGUGGCACAUACCUUCAGUCCCAGCACUCAGGAGGCAAGAGAAUCUAUACAAGUUUGAGGCCAUCCUGUUCUACACGAUCCACUCCAGGCCAGCUAAGGGCUACAUAGUGUAAGACCCUGGCUCAAAACAAACAACAAAAGAAACAAAGAGAAAGAAAAGCUCUGAGCUCUGUGCUGUGUGGCAGAGGCUGAAUUUUGUCUGAAAGAUGAGAGGCGGAACUGAGAACAUGGGGACAGAUCUCCUGGGGGGGAGGGGGGAGAGCAUCAGUGGACAUGAGUAGCAAGUAGACACUGGGAGGAAGGUGAGGCGGAGGGGCUUGGCUUUUGUUUUUUGAUUACCAAGGUAAUUUGACCACAUAUAUUGGCCAACAGAAAGAAUCUGAGCAAGCAGUAGAAAUUCAAG
ensembl:lincRNA Gm12866 predicted gene 12866